rnacentral:rRNA from 1 species
UUAGUGCCUUCGGGAACUCUGAGACAGGUGCUGCAUGGCUGUCGUCAGCUCGUGUUGUGAAAUGUUGGGUUAAGUCCCGCAACGAGCGCAACCCUUAUCCUUUGUUGCCAGCACGUAAUGGUGGGAACUCAAAGGAGACUGCCGGUGAUAAACCGGAGGAAGGUGGGGAUGACGUCAAGUCAUCAUGGCCCUUACGAGUAGGGCUACACACGUGCUACAAUGGCGCAUACAAAGAGAAGCGACCUCGCGAGAGCAAGCGGACCUCAUAAAGUGCGUCGUAGUCCGGAUUGGAGUCUGCAACUCGACUCCAUGAAGUCGGAAUCGCUAGUAAUCGUAAAUCAGAAUGUUACGGUGAAUACGUUCCCGGGCCUUGUACACACCGCCCGUCACACCAUGGGAGUGGGUUGCAAAAGAAGUAGAUAGCUUAACCUUCGGGAGGGCGUUUACCACUUUGUGAUUCAUGACUGGGGUGAAGUCGUAACAAGGUAACCGUAGGGGAACCUGCGGUUGGAUCACCUCCUUACCUAUAAGA